rnacentral:rRNA from 1 species
CUCUGUGACUCCUACGGGAGGCAGCAGUGGGGAAGUAUUGCACAAUGGGGGAAACCCUGAUGCAGCCAUGCCGCGUGUGUGAAGAAGGCCUUCGGGUUGUAAAGCACUUUCAGUAGGGAGGAAGGUAGUGUAGUUAACACCUGCACUAUUUGACGUUACCUACAGAAGAAGCACCGGCUAACUCCGUGCCAGCAGCCGCGGUAAUACGGAGGGUGCGAGCGUUAAUCGGAAUUACUGGGCGUAAAGCGCAUGCAGGCGGCCUGUUAAGUCAGAUGUGAAAGCCCCGGGGCUUAACCUCGGAAUUGCAUUUGAAACUGGCAGGCUAGAGUCUUGUAGAGGGGGUAGAAUUUCAGGUGUAGCGGUGAAAUGCGUAGAGAUCUGAAGGAAUACCAGUGGCGAAGGCGGCCCCCCUGGACAAAGACUGACGCUCAGAUGCGAAAGCGUGGGGAGCAAACAGGAUUAGAUACCCUGGUAG